rnacentral:tRNA from 1 species
GUGGGUGUAGCUCAGUUGGCCAGAGCGCCGGACCGUGGCUCCGGAGGUCGUGGGUUCGAGACCCACUACCCACC